UACGUAGGGGGCAAGCGUUGUCCGGAUUUAUUGGGCGUAAAGAGCGUGUAGGCGGCCAGACAGGUCUGCUGUGAAAACUCGAGGCUCAACCUCGAGACGCCGGUGGAAACCGUUUGGCUAGAGUCCGGAAGAGGAGAGUGGAAUUCCUGGUGUAGCGGUGAAAUGCGCAGAUAUCAGGAGGAACACCGAUGGCGAAGGCAGGUCUCUGGGCCGAUACUGACGCUGAGGAGCGAAAGCGUGGGGAGCGAACAGG
rnacentral:rRNA from 1 species